ensembl:lncRNA
CAAGGCAUCAGAUUCCUUUUAUUUAAAUUUACAUUUAAAAAUUUGCAAUGAAAAUACAAAUGCAUAUGGGGAGGACAGGGUUGUCUGGAAGAGGGAAAGACUCAGAUAUUCUGAGUGGUACUUAAGUCAAGGUGUGUUCUUGAGUUUCCCAAUAUCUGUUCUGAAAAUCUUUUUGAGAAAAAUGCAGAUGAGCAUCUAAGCUCGAACCAAACUUCGUGACCAGGCUUAUUAGGUUGGAUUAAACAGAAGAUAGCACAGCAGAACUUUUAAAAAUCCAAAUUUUACUCUGUCUUUGUAUAGUAAAAUAAAAUUGACAAUUAAAUUUCAUAGGGCGAAGAGUGCCUCACUUACCAAAUAAAGGUCAGAAUUUGCUCCAGAAACUUGCUUUCGAAAUUAUUUUUCCAACUCACUUCAGAAAAUAAUUUGCAUAUAUGGCUAACAGACCCCAAAUUAUGCUGUAGAAUAUCUAUAUCUAACCUUGUUUAAAAAAUAUUUCAUCUUUAGUAAAAGAUAUAUUUAAUAAAGUUAAUUCUUUUAAAUCAAGAGUUUGCCCUAGGGGUUUCCACUGUGGCACAGUGGGAUCAGUGGCAUCUCUGCAGUGCCAGGAUGCAGGUUCUAUCCCUGGGCCUGCUCAGUGGGUUUAGGAUUCAGUGUUGCUGAUAGGUUGUGACUACAGCUCAGAUCUGAUCCCUGGCCCGGGAAGUCCAUAUGCUGUGGGGCAGCCAAAAAUAAAAACUUUGUUAAAAAAAUUAAUGUAAGAGCUUGUUCUAGGAAUCGAUAUAUUUUAUUACAGUGUCUCCACUUCCCUCUCUUCUCACCAAAGUGUCACCAAAGCCAGUCAAAUGUAGUCACUUGGGACUAGGUCUAGACUUUGCUUUAUUUUAGUGACCAUAGUUCCAGUCCCAAAGCCACAGGCCAGUGUUUUGGGAAGUAACAGCCAUAGAGAUGAGGUAUUUCAGUGUGAGCAAGAGAAACACUUUGAUCUGGCACAUUUUCUGCACUCACGCAGAUGUGGUCUGGAUGUAAUUUGAGCACCAAAGCCUGCUCCAUGGGCUUGAAACCCGAGCAGGGAUCCACACUCUGAAAGUUUAGUGCCCUGCUCUUACCGUCUUGAGUUUGUGAGCAACAACCCCUGGAUUUUCAUUUUGUGCUGGGCUCCACAAAUUAUGUAGCCAGUCUUAGAUGUAUAUACAAGCUGCUUGGACCUGAAUCAUCUAACUUGUGAUCUGUGUUUUCUUUGGCAUCGAAAAUAUGGGUAGUUCCCCAACAUCUCCCAAUGGCAAGAUACACCAGGCUCCAGGACAUUUUCAAAGGUGUAAAAGUUGAGGGCCACGUGGGGGACAGUGAAGGAAGCACACAAAGGUCAUUUUUGGUUUUUUUUGCAUGUCUAUAAAAUCGUACCUUCAUUGCAAUAGGGAAGAAUCAAGCCCAUCAUAUGUAUAUAUGGGCUUAUAUAUAUAUAUGUAAAAUCAGCAUACUGAAAGAAUGUGUUCAUUGGACGAGCUAAUUUGUACACACAUGUUCAAUAAGCUAUAAACACAUUCUUCUAUAGUUCUUUUAUCAUUAAGGUGAUUAUUUCUGCAAUUCAAAUAAAAAGUGGAAUCUGUGCAAGAUCUGAGCUUGGCUAUGCUUUAUGAGAAUAAUGAAAAAUCCUCUUCUGAAUUGGAAAGCACCAUUCUUUCUGUACUUCAAAAGAAUGAGGGGCAAUAGUUGGUUGAAAAAUGCUAUAACAUGUCUACCAUUAACAGUGGUGUAAACAUUUCAUUAUAGGCAUGGUUCUCUGUACAGGGGGACAUAUGGUGAUUUAAAAGGAUGAGUUAGCAAGGAAGAGGAGCUCUUUCUAGAUACCUUAGGAGGUGGAGAAAGGCACAGUGGGCAAGGAGGCAGUGUUACCUACAUCUUCAAAGGCCAUGUGGGACUUUCAAACCCUGGCUGCAGAUUAGAAUCAAUUGGAGUAAUUAGAAAAACACUAAUGUCUGGGCCUCAUCCCAAACAAAUUAAUUACAACCCGAGGUGGACACUCAGGCAGGGUAUUUUUUUAAAGUAUCCCUGGUGAUUCUGAUGUGCAGCAAGGUGAAGAAUCAUUGGGCUUUUGCAUACUCGAAAAGAAAGGUUUUGGCUACACCAGAAUCAAACAGAUCUCAAUUCGAACAUUUAAAGAUUAAAUAUAUAUAUUUAUAUCUAAUUCUACUUAAACAUAGACAUCACUAACUUAUUUCUAUGCAAAGUAUUACCUCUAGGUAAUUAAAAAUAUUUUAUAAAUACUUUAAUGAUCUUUCUCUGUUAAACACUUCCAAUAAAUAGGGAAACAUUUAAGAGAUGAAAGGAGUUUUCAAAGCAGACGUUUCAACUUUUUUAGGAAAUCUGAAGACUGCGCCGGAGUGUAAAAGUCCUGUAAAAUGCAGGAUGGGCAGGGCAAGUAGUGUUCCUCCCAACUUGGAGUACUUUUUACACAUCACAUAUCUUCUUCCAUUAAAGAAGGAAGUGAAAACUGCUCAGGCCAAAAUUUAAAAUUAAGGCAUCUGGAAGCUAAACCACAUUUUCUAGGAUGUCUCCUUUAAUAACAAGCUUUAGAAACAACACACAACAAAAAACAUCCUUACAAAUAAGUACCUAAAAUUCUAGUAUCCCGAGAGGAGAAAUUCCUUUUCAACUAAUUUUUGAAUUCUGGGGUAAAGGUGUUUCUGAAGAUGUCACGAUUCUGAGUAAAGAGUUGUGGGCAACUGGGAAAGAGGGAAGCAGGGUACAAGGGGGGUGGGGAAUAGAAAUGCCCUGCAUGAGUCCCUUCGUUACUUGCUGUUUCUGUGCUGGCGAAGGGCUAGCCCAAUUGUACUUGAUGGUUCUUCACUCUGUGGGCAGAGCUGAGACAAAUGUUCCCUGGAACCAGACCAGCAGAGAAAGGCCAGGGCACAAAGAUUCAGAUUUUCCAUUUCGUGUUCGUGAGUCUCAGUGGUAUCGGAAGCUAACUGCAGAAGACCCUGAAAAGACAAGCUCGCUUUGCUGGCACAUCCCUCACAUCUGCAGAUAUGUGCAGGGGAUUUCGGGGAAGCAUUCUCUAAGGAAUGAGGCAUGGUUACAAUGAUCACAGUUUUUUUUUUUUUUCCUGUAAGGAGUUUGAGAAACCCAAGGAUAA